UGCCCAUGGGAAGGCCGGACCCUGGUAGACCACGUCACUGCAGGGUCGCCGUGCUCGACUCCAAACGGCGUUGUUCAGUGUCGUGUGGGCUGAGCGUCCCUCGAGCUGGAGAUUCUUGGUCCUGCCCUUUGGAGCAGAACUGCUGAUUUGAUGAUGGAGGACCCCCUCCCCCCAAAAAGAGGAAAAUCUUUGAGCCAAGUGACAGUGACAUUCUGAAGUACUAACAUUUGAAAUAGUACGUCUGCCCUUUACUGAGUGAUUCAUGAAAUAAAUGACAAAAACUCCAAGUUCUAAGAAAUCUUCCAAAGAAGAGAGAACUUGAUUAUGUGCAGCUACAUUUAUAAUUUAGAACCACUUUACUGCCCAGGAAAAAAAUGGACUUUUUAUAACCCCACCC
rnacentral:lncRNA from 1 species